GCCUGUGUGCCUGUGUUUCUUGUUCAAACUCAAAAUCCAAAGCUCCAUGUGUUAUUUGUUUGGCUUUGUGCUUUGGCAGUUUGUGGAUAUAAUUUUUUAUUUAUCAAGAUAAUUGAAACGUUUUACCCAUUAUUUGCGUUUCAAAUCAUUCGUUCAUUUCAAUAAAAACGUCAAUGGAUAACGAAAUGAUGUCAGCUAUUGAGUGAGCAGGUUGCAAACAAUAGAUGUCAACAACCAGAGUGCAGUUUUACAUGUACAGUACUUCAGUUGAUUAUGAUGGCGAUCUUGGCCAACAUCAUUCAGUAUUCGAUUUUUGUCAAAUAUUCUCCAAAGAAGGAGCAAGAGAAGAAAAGAGACCUUGGAAGAAAUGGAAAAAUUGUAUCGCCCAGGAUAUUGUAGUGAAGGGACUAACACCAAACGAAGUCCAUGACCGACACUCCUGGGAGCGAUGACCCGAAACGCUGACCCCACCUGAGUGGGAAAACGCUGAGAAGAAGAAGAUUCACCAAAGAAGGAGCAAACGAAAGGGGUAUCGAGAAGAAUGGCUUCCGAAAAGAAGAAUUGCUUUAUUUGCAAUAAUGCGCAUGUAGAUGGUGACUAUUGGUCACGAUUAGAAACAUACUGCACGAAAUCAUCGAAGAUCAGUAUUAUAGAAAAACUUGCUGAAAUUGUAGGCGACAAAUGCUGAAAACCAAGCGGUGUUCGCAAGGCUGGGAAGCAAGCCAUACACGCCAGCCGUGAUUGAGGCAUGUCCGCUUGAAGGCUUCCUGCGGCGACAAU